CCUGCCUCAGCUCCAUGUUCCUCACUACAUCAACAUGUUAGACCCCUGAAUCUUCAUGGGGGUUUAUCUCCCACGCUCUGGCCAUGUUCUUGCCACUUCCUACUUCCCCAGCAGCAGGGGCAUGGGGUGCUGGCCCAGGGAGGAGGGGUGGGUUAUGUCCUGACAGCAUCCACGCCAGUAUUCUUGGUCCUCUUGACGUUCCCGACACUACUCUGGGCCGCCGGGUCGGCUCUAGCAGCUCGUAUCUUCCCCCUUCUUUGGAGAACUGCAGUCUGUCCCAUCACAGGGAGCCUACCAGGGAGGUCACUGCCCCGUGAAGGGCCGGUCAGUCACACUGGCCACGUGGAGGUCGAGUCAGUGGUGCAAUUCACCUUCCAGAGACCCCUGCGAGACCAGAAGGAGGAAAAUCACCAGCCCAAAUGCAUCACGGUAAUUAGCUUUCUUCUCCUGCUCUGUCCUAUUUGUCAUUCCGCUUCUGAAACCCACCCUCCCUGCCAAAAAUCCCUGCCUCUGGAUCUGUGUCUAGGGUGCCUGAGUUAAGACAGCCCCUGGGAUUUCCCUGGUGGCACAGUGGAUAGCAAUCCACCUGCCAGUGCCAGGGACACGGAUUUCGAUCCGCGGUCUGGGAAGAUCCCACGUGCCAUGGAGCAAGUGCACCCGGGCACCACCACUACUGGAGGCCGUGUGCCUGAGAGCCUGUGACCCACAAGCAACGCCACCGCGAUGACAAGCCAGCGCACCGCAGUGAAGAGCAGCCCCCACUCGCGGCAACCAGAGAGAGCCUGUGCGCAGCAAUGAAGACCCAGCGCAGCCAGAAAUAAAUCAAUUAACUAAAGGGAAGGGACAAAAAAGCCCAGAGG
rnacentral:lncRNA from 1 species